AGCCUGAACGCUGGCGGCGUGGCUAAGACAUGCAAGUCGUACGGACCCGCAAGGGUCAGUGGCGAACGGGAGAGUAAUGAAUCGCUAAUGUGCCCCGGACUCUGGGAUAGCUACCCGAAAGGGUAGGUAAUACCAGAUGAUAUACCUUUACCGCAUGGUAGAGAUCGUCAAAGGUCCGCCGGU
rnacentral:rRNA from 1 species